CCUACGGGAGGCAGCAGUGGGGAAUAUUGGACAAUGGGGGGAACCCUGAUCCAGCGACGCCGCGUGAGUGAAGAAGUAUUUCGGUAUGUAAAGCUCUAUUAGCAGGGAAGAAAGAAAUGACGGUACCUGACUAAGAAGCCCCGGCUAACUACGUGCCAGCAGCCGCGGUAAUACGGAGGGGGCAAGCGUUAUCCGGAUGUACUGGGUGUAAAGGGAGCGUAGACGGCGAUGCAAGUCUGAAGUGAAAGGCGGGGGCCCAACCCCUGGACUGCUUUGGAAACUGUAUGGCUGGAGUGCAGGAGAGGUAAGUGGAAUUCCUAGUGUAGCGGUGAAAUGCGUAGAUAUGAGGAGGAACACCAGUGGCGAAGGCAGCUUACUGGACUGUAACUGACGUUGAGGCUCGAAAGCGUGGGGAGCAAACAGGAUUAGAUACCCGGGUAGUC
rnacentral:rRNA from 1 species